GAGCGGCCGAUGUCGGAUUAGCUAGUUGGCGGGGUAACGGCCCACCAAGGCUACGAUCCGUAGCUGGUCUGAGAGGACGACCAGCCACACUGGAACUGAGACACGGUCCAGACUCCUACGGGAGGCAGCAGUGGGGAAUUUUGGACAAUGGGCGCAAGCCUGAUCCAGCCAUGCCGCGUGAGCGAAGAAGGCCUUCGGGUUGUAAAGCUCUUUCGGCGGGGACGAAAAGGUCCGUGCUAACACCACGGAUCCAUGACGGUACCCGCAGAAGAAGCACCGGCUAACUACGUGCCAGCAGCCGCGGUAAUACGUAGGGUGCAGGCGUUAAUCGGAAUUACUGGGCGUAAAGCGUGCGCAGGCGGUCUAUUAAGACAGGUGUGAAAUCCCCGGGCUUAACCUGGGAACUGCGCUUGUAACUGAUAGGCUGGAGUGUGGCAGAGGGGGGUGGAAUUCCAGGGGUAGCAGUGAAAUGCGUAGAGAUCUGGAGGAACACCGAUGGCGAAGGCAGCCCCCUGGGCUAACACUGACGCUCAUGCACGAAAGCGUGGGGAGCAAACAGGAUUAGAUACCCUGGUAGUCCACGCCCUAAACUAUGUCAACUGGUUGU
rnacentral:rRNA from 1 species